AAAGGCAAUAUCCCACAACAUACAACGACCGAGUUUUAAAUGAACCGAUGAACCAGGACUGUACUGAACGUGAAAAAGCCAUACAUGUAUGACUAAUUAAGGACCUCAUCUUUCCCUGCGAGCAAGCUAGCCAGCGUAUUGUUAUACAAAAAUGAUACCUAUUUUCAACAUGGAUCAAGUGCUCUUGAAAUAAUUAUAAAAAAAAUCGUCGCGGUCCAGCUCGUAUGUAGUGAAUACGACGAAGCCAGCAAAGGAUUUAUUUGUGCCUCUUUCAAACAGAGAAAUGACAUCGUUUCUUCCUCUUCCUCGGAGUCGCGAGGGGUUUCUUCUUCCCCCGUUUCAAAGUUUUAAUGUUGACCCUGAGAAAAGGCUAAAGGAAAUACAGGAUCUAGAUACAAGAGAAACGGAUAUCCUUGUGAACGCCUACCCUAAAUCAGGAAGUCACUGGCUCCAUGAAAUCCUCUGUAAAUUACUAUACGAUGAGCAGACCACAGCACCUUUACCUAGGAUGGAAGCGUGUUUUUUGGAUCUGUUGUCGGACAUCACUGCCCUCACUAAACUCCCCUCCCCACGCAUCCUCUACACACAUCUACCUGUGCAAUACCUGCCUCGAAAACACUUGAGCAGAGGUGGGAAGACAUUCCACAUGAUUCGUGACCCCCGGGACGUGGUGGUGUCGUCCUAUUACCAUUAUCUGAGCGUACCGAGAUUUAAGAGAUACUUCACCAGAGAGUGGGACCAGCAUUUGUCCAAUUUUAUGUCUGGGGAUUUUAUUUACGGAGAUUGGUUUCAGUAUGAACGACAGUAUGAACAGUUUGCCAAAACCAAUAAUGUGAUGACGCUAUUUUACGAAGAUAUGAAAACGGAUGAAGAAAGGGCCACUAGAAAAAUAGCUGAUUAUUUAGAAUUACCCUUAACCCAAGAAAAUGCAGCUAGAAUAGCUAGAGACUGUGGUAUAUCAAAUGUCAAGGAACGCAUGAAAACUCACCAAACGUCUUUUAUGUUCAGAAAAGGCCAUGUUGGGGAUUGGAAGAAUCACUUCUCUGCAGAUCAAGAAAAACAAUUCAACCUACUGUUUCAGGAGAAAAUGAAAGGAUCUAGUUUAGCUGCUCGUUAUUCGAUGUUAAAUUCAUCACUGUAGACAAAACGAAAAUUCCGCUGGACAUCCAUGACAUUUUGUGCAUUUUACUUAAAGUUACAUGUAUAAUAAUUUUAUGCAUAUUUAGCCGAAUUACUGAAACAAAAUGUUUUAUCUGUAAAUCAUUUUAAUGAAUUAUAAAAAAUAUUGUAGUCUAUUGAGCGUUUAAGAGAGUCUGCUCUAUCCACUUUGUUGGAAUCACAUGUCGUGUCCUUUUUUGCGUCACUUUUUAAUCAGGACUUUGUAGAUGUCGUUUAUCAUGAGUUGCAGAUCUCUGGUGGUCCUUUGCAUAUGUACAAGUCCUGGUUUAAUUUCCUUGAUAGCUGUCUGUAGCGAUUCCGUCCUUUGUUCCACGUCACUUAUAGCUUUGCUGAUCUCGAUCAGUCCAAUUGUGGACUCCCCUAUAGAAUCUCUCCUGUUCCUCGCUUCUCGCAUGGUAUAUAUGGCAUGCUGGAGCUUUCUAUGCACACGAAUCUGAUCACGGGUAAUAACGCUAUAUCGUCUGCGAAGGUUACAAAGUUGGAACCAAUUUUUGAUGACGUCAGCGGCGGCCAUUUUCCUUCCGUUAUCCAACUGGGCUUUCUUGACGAAGCUGUAGACGUACUUUUCUGCACGCGUCUGUUCUAAUUUUUGUAGUAUGACGGUGAUUAACAGUGCAGUAGUGCCUAUCCCCAUAAGGCCGGUCGUCACGGAUACACAACGUCCACAGACGCUGACGGGGUACGUGUCUCCAUAGCCGACGGUCAGAAAAGUGAUAGAUAUUAUCCACAUUGAAUUCCAGAAAUUUGAAUUCUCCCUCUCAAACUGGUAAAAAGUUUCACAGUUCAUCAUGGCCCAAGAGUUGGUCAGCAGUAUGAAGACCAUAAUGGCGAUCAAAACACUUCCUGGGUUUGACGUCAUCAAUGCUUUGAACACGAAAACGCCGUCAAUAUCUACUCUGUUGAAUGCACUUAAACUACGGGUGGCUGUACCUGAGAGUAGCUUGUUGUGUACAACAGCCACCCGGCCAAGAAGGUAGACACGAAAUAUCAUAAGGAUAGACAGCACUGGGUCAAGUGAAACGUAGACUGUAUCCCCGUCAGGUCCGCUGAUUGGAAUGGUCACAUUAAACGGUAGGGGGUGGAUAAUGCAGAUCAGCAUUUCAAGAGACAGUUUUAAGUUCGUGUUUGGGAAUGCCACAAGUAACCUCCAGUCAUCAAUUUGAUUGUCGGUCAUGCGCAUUUUGAUUUCUGUCACGUAGUACAAAACAACGGCAAUAAGCAAUAUGACGGUAGAUAACGACACGAAAGAUUUUAGAACAAUCGACAUUGUUGAGAGUUUUGUUAUGAAUCCUGCAUAGAAUAAUUCAUUUUCUACAAGCAUAAUUACGAAUCCUAUCAACGCCAUGAAAACCUGAACAUCCACAAUCUUCCUCCUCUCCUUCAGCAGCUUCCCCCUUGUUGUUAACCGUUCCCCUAUACCACUGUCAACAGUACCAUGUUUACCUCCUGUCUCUUCGUCGAGUAGAGUGAUUUUGUUAGGCCUGUCUGCUAAGAGGCACUUUAUGUCCUCAAAGUCUCGAAAGUCUCCACUCAUCUUUUCGUAUUCACACAUUGCAUUUUUACAAACGUCUACCAAAUGACGUCAUAAAGAUUUUACGUCGUACCGUCUAUUAGGUAAUUUUCGCGCGUAAGUUUAUGUACUUUAGAAGCGGUACGCCAACGAUAAAAAAAAAUGGAGCACCAAUAUCAAAUCACUUUAAAAAAUUAAACUGAAUAAACGUGAUUUGAAUCAUUUGAUUUCCCGUCUAGAAUAUACCGGUAUGGCUUCUCGCAUAAUUUUUGGAAAAACCGGAGUGGUAAAAAAAUGACCAUCCUUUUAUGUGCAGGGAUAUCGUUACUUUUUCAAUCUAUUUCAUCUAAUGCUACAUGUAAUUUAAAGAAAUAUAUUAGAAUACAAAAUCAUUAAAAAGUACGGAUACGUACGGUGAACCAAGCCCCCACCCCUUAUUUGCGAGUCAUCUUUUUUUUCUCAAAUGUUCAUAUUUGGGUAUCUAUUAAAGCCAUUUUAAAAACUAAAAACGUAAUGACCCCUCCAAUUUUGUGUAAAUGUAUGAAAUACAUAAAUUGAAAAUUGUUGAUAGGUAUAAUAAUUAUACAUGCAAAUCAAUAUCAAAAAUUAAGAGGAAAAUUCAGAAGACUGUAGUCAAUAACCAGAAAAGUCCGAGUGGAAUCAUGGCUUGUAUAUACUUGCAUAACUUUAUAAAGAGAGUGGAGACGCCGAUUUCUCCUGGGAAAGAUACUGCAGCCCACAAACGAGCAGUAUUUGCAUGCAACCUGAUUAUAAAUUUAUGCUACAUGUGGUUAAAAUGGUGUAAAUUAAAACACAGACAGGCCAUCCUU
rnacentral:misc_RNA from 1 species